rnacentral:rRNA from 1 species
GAUGAACGCUGGCGGCGUGCCUAAUACAUGCAAGUCGAGCGAACAGACGAGGAGCUUGCUCCUCUGACGUUAGCGGCGGACGGGUGAGUAACACGUGGAUAACCUACCUAUAAGACUGGGAUAACUUCGGGAAACCGGAGCUAAUACCGGAUAAUAUAUUGAACCGCAUGGUUCAAUAGUGAAAGACGGUUUUGCUGUCACUUAUAGAUGGAUCCGCGCCGCAUUAGCUAGUUGGUAAGGUAACGGCUUACCAAGGCGACGAUGCGUAGCCGACCUGAGAGGGUGAUCGGCCACACUGGAACUGAGACACGGUCCAGACUCCUACGGGAGGCAGCAGUAGGGAAUCUUCCGCAAAGGGCGUAAGCCUGACGGAGCAACGCCGCGUGAGUGAUGAAGGUCUUCGGAUCGUAAAACUCUGUUAUUAGGGAAGAACAAAUGUGUAAGUAACUAUGCACGUCUUGACGGUACCUAAUCAGAAAGCCACGGCUAACUACGUA